rnacentral:misc_RNA from 1 species
GCGGAGUUCCGAGAGCAUCGUGUCGCUGAGCGCGUGUACCCGAACUUGCGCCGCGUCGUAGCUCGAGGACGCGAGCUGCGUGACCGACUGCGCCGUCGCGGACGCACUCUGGACGAUGACGCUCUGGGCUCUGAUCUGGUUGAUCUGUUCGGUCGAGUACGUGCGGAGCUGGUCGCUGAGCUCCUUCGAGAGGUAGUAAGCGCGCUGGUACUGGAACUUGG